rnacentral:rRNA from 1 species
CCUACGGGAGGCUGCAGUGGGGAAUAUUGGGCAAUGGGGGAAACCCUGACCCAGCAACGCCGCGUGAAGGAAGAAGGCCUUCGGGUUGUAAACUUCUUUGAUCAGGGAAGAAACAAAUGACGGUACCUGAAAAACAAGCCACGGCUAACUACGUGCCAGCAGCCGCGGUAAUACGUAGGUGGCAAGCGUUAUCCGGAUUUACUGGGUGUAAAGGGCGUGUAGGCGGUCUCAUAAGUCAGAUGUGAAAUUCCCGGGCUUAACCCGGGCGCUGCAUCUGAAACUGUGGGACUUGAGUACUGGAGAGGAUAGUGGAAUUCCUAGUGUAGCGGUAAAAUGCGUAGAUAUUAGGAGGAACACCGGUGGCGAAGGCGACUAUCUGGACAGUAACUGACGCUGAGGCGCGAAAGCGUGGGGAGCAAACAGGAUUAGAUACCCCGGUAGUC